AUACGGAGGAUCCGAGCGUUAUCCGGAUUUAUUGGGUUUAAAGGGAGCGUAGGCGGGAGAUCAAGUCAGCUGUGAAAUGUAGAUGCUCAACAUCUGCACUGCAGUUGAAACUGGUUUUCUUGAGUGCGUAAGGGGCAGGCGGAAUUCGUCGUGUAGCGGUGAAAUGCUUAGAUAUGACGAAGAACUCCGAUCGCGAAGGCAGCCUGCCGGGCCGCGACUGACGCUGAAGCUCGAAGGUGCGGGUAUCGAACAGGAUUAGAUACCCUGGUAGUCCGCACAGUAAACGAUGGAUACUCGCUGUCGGCGAUAUACGGUCGGUGGCCAAGCGAAAGCGUUAAGUAUCCCACCUGGGGAGUACGCCGGCAACGGUGAAACUCAAAUGAAUUGGCGGGG
rnacentral:rRNA from 1 species